rnacentral:rRNA from 1 species
UACGGAGGGUGCAAGCGUUAAUCGGAAUUACUGGUCGUAAAGCGUACGUAGGCGGCUUGUUAAGCAAGAUGUGAAAUCCCCGGGCUCAACCUGGGAAUGGCAUUUUGAACUGGCAGGCUCGAGUUCUGAAGAGGGUGGUAGAAUUUCCAGUGUAGCGGUGAAAUGCGUAGAUAUUGGAAGGAAUACCGGUGGCGAAGGCGGCCACCUGGUCAGAAACUGACGCUGAGGUACGAAAGCGUGGGGAGCAAACAGG